UGCAUCGGUCGGGAAUCGAACCCGGGCCGCCCGCGUGGCAGGCGAGCAUUCUACCACUAAACCACCGAUGC
rnacentral:tRNA from 1 species